GUGUCAGCAGCCGCGGUAAUACAGAGGUCUCAAGCGUUGUUCGGAUUCAUUGGGCGUAAAGGGUGCGUAGGUGGCGAGGUAAGUUGGAUGUGAAAUCCCGGGGCUCAACCCCGGAACUGCAUUCAAUACUGCCUUGCUGGAGUACUGGAGAGGAGAUUGGAAUUUACGGUGUAGCAGUGAAAUGCGUAGAUAUCGUAAGGAAGACCAGUGGCGAAGGCGGAUCUCUGGACAGUUACUGACACUGAGGCACGAAGGCCAGGGGAGCAAACGGGAUUAGAUACCCCUGUAGUCC
rnacentral:rRNA from 1 species